rfam:Alligator mississippiensis ScZkoYb_111, whole genome shotgun sequence.
UCUGGCAGCGGUGACACAUUUGCCCUCAUUGCGAACACUGUUCAGUAAUGAGCCUCGCCAUGUGCUCAGUCCAGCUGAGCCAGA